AUGACUCUUUGGUUGAGCCUCCUCCUGUUCUCUGCAGUCCUCUCAGGCUGCCAUUCUGAAGUUCAGCUGAUGGAGACAGGAGGUGGUGUUAUAGCACCUGGUGGCUCUCUCCAACUCUCCUGCAAGGCUUCAGGCUUCACCUUUACUGACUACAACAUGCACUGGAUCCGUCAGGCUCCAGGGAAAGGGCUGGAAUGGGUGGCUGGAGUUAGCAACCCUACAGGGAGCACCCAGUGGUAUAACUCCAAGGUUCAGGGAAGAUUCACUAUCUCCAGAGAUAAUUCUCAGACUUCAGCAUAUCUGCAAAUGAACAGCUUGAAAAAUGAAGAUUCUGGCUUGUAUUACUGUGCAAGAAGCACAGUGACGACUUUUGGAAUGAACACAUGGAGCACAAGAACUUUGGACUCAGAAGAUUUACCAGGGGCAUGA